AAUAAAUUGAGAUGAUAUGAGAUAAGAUUUUAAUUUUGGUUAACCAAGGUAAAUUGCCGCACGUAACACCCUCAAAUCGAUUCCUUCACCCCAUAGCUUCAGACUCGAUCGAAAUCUCCUCAAGAGCAAGGUGCAAACAACUGAAAUCUUUGAGGUUUCUCCUUCUAUUUUUUGUUGGUUGCUGGAUUCACAUCUUGGAAAGGGGAUUAAGCUAGGAAAAUGUGAGGAACAGACUAUGGAGCAAGACAUUGCCAAGGAGGGGGAGCCGAAUGUGGAUGGGUCUUUCCUCUUAUUUUAUUCUGAUGUUAAAACUAUGUAUUUUAGUUGGUUGUAAAAAUGGUUUGGGGGAAAUGUAUUUGAUACACUUGUUUUUUUGUGGACCGGGUAGAUGCUUUUACUCAGGAGAUUGUUACUAGUUUUGGACUUGUAAUUAAUAGACCUUUCCAUGUUUUGAAAUGGGUUGUUUUGAAAUUUUGAUA